UACGAAGGGGGCUAGCGGUGUUCGGAAUCACUGGGCGUAAAGCGCACGUAGGCGGAUCGUUAAGUCGGGGGUGAAAUCCCGAGGCUCAACCUCGGAACUGCCUUCGAUACUGGCGAUCUUUGAGUCCGGGAGAGGUGAGUGGAACUCCGAGUGUAGAGGUGAAAUUCGUAGAUAUUCGGAAGAACACCAGUGGCGAAGGCGGCUCACUGGCCCGGUACUGACGCUGAGGUGCGAAAGCGUGGGGAGCAAACAGG
rnacentral:rRNA from 1 species